AUUGUGCUUUUGUGUGAGGACCUUGUUGAUCUAGUUAAAUUAAUUAAUUAUAGUUUGCAAGGGUUGAUGUUAAAUAUGAAGAGAUAAUUGAAGCAACUUCAAUUGGCUCCAGCAAAGUCUUAUGGUCCUGCACUGCUCAGUUGCAGCUGCUACUGACAGGAGACGACUUCUGUGGUAUAAGAUUAAGAUUUAUGUACUGCCAUGAGCCUCCUACUUGAGGUUAUUCGUUAGGAAGUGUUGCAGCAUCAAAGGGUUGCAGCCUUGGGGAGGAACAGUCUUGAUGUUUAAAUUUUGAUGGGUUUAGUAAUUUUUUAGUUUGUGUAGUUUGGUACUUUUUAAAAUACAGUAUACAG